rnacentral:rRNA from 1 species
UACAUAGGUGGCAAGCGUUAUCCGGAUUUAUUGGGCGUAAAGCGUGCGUAGAUGGUUCUGCAAGUCUGAGGUUAAAUUUAGGGGCUUAACUCCUAACCGCCUUGGAAACUACAGUACUAGAGUAUAGGAGAGGUUAGUGGAAUUUCAUGUGUAGCGGUGGAAUGCGUAGAUAUAUGAAGGAACACCAGUGGCGAAGGCGGCUAACUGGCCUAUUACUGACGUUGUGGCACGAAAGCGUGGGGAGCAAAUAG